CUACGGGUGGCUGCAGUGAGGAAUAUUGCACAAUGGGGGGAACCCUGAUGCAGCAACGCCGCGUGGAGGAUGACGCAUUUCGGUGUGUAAACUCCUUUUAUAUGUCAAGAAAAUGACGGUAGCAUAUGAAUAAGCACCGGCUAACUCCAUGCCAGCAGCCGCGGUAAUACGGAGGGUGCAAGCGUUACUCGGAAUCACUGGGCGUAAAGGACGCGUAGGCGGGUUGGAAAGUCAGGAGUGAAAUCCUACAGCUUAACUGUAGAACUGCACUUGAAACUUCUAAUCUAGAGUAUGGGAGGGGGAGAUGGAAUUAGUGGUGUAGGGGUAAAAUCCGUAGAUAUCACUAGGAAUACCUAAAGCGAAGGCGAUCUCCUGGAACAUUACUGACGCUAAGGCGUGAAAGCGUGGGGAGCAAACAGGAUUAGAUACCCGCGUAGUC
rnacentral:rRNA from 1 species